rnacentral:rRNA from 1 species
AUGGGUUCCGACGCGGCCGCGGUGAGCACCGUGCGGGAGGCCGCACGCAUGGUGUGGAACGAGUCCAAGCGCCUCUGGGGCAUCGGCACGCCCAUCGCCAUCGCCACGCUCAGCAUGUACGCCGUCAGCUCCGUCACCACCAUCUUCGUCGGCCACCUCGGCAACCUGCCCCUCGCCGCCGCCUCCAUCGGCCUCUCCGUCUUCGCCACCUUCUCCCUCGGAUUCUUGCUCGGCAUGGGGAGCGCUCUGGAGACGCUGUGCGGGCAGGCGUUCGGCGCCGGCCAGGUGGCUAUGCUCGGCGUCUACCUGCAGCGCUCCUGGAUCGUCCUCCUCGCCGCCACGCUCCUCAUAGUGCCCUUGUACGUCUUUGCCGAGCCGCUCCUCCUCGCCGUCGGCCAGGACCCCGUUCUCGCGCGCGAGGCCGCCCGCUUCGCGCUCUACAUCCUCCCCGGCGCCUUCUCCUUCGCCGUCAACUUCCCCACUGGCAAGUUUUUGCAGGCGCAGAGCAAGGUCCUGAUGCUCGCCUGGAUCGGCGUCGCCGGCCUCUGCUUCCACGUCGCGCUCACCUACCUCCUCGUCACCGUCCUCGGAUGGGGCACCCCGGGCGCCGCCGCCGCCUACGACCUCUCGCUCUGGGCCAUCGCGCUGGGACAGUCCGCCUACAUCAUCGGCUGGUGCAAGGACGGCUGGAGGGGCUGGUCCAUGGCCGCAUUCAACGACAUGUGGGCGUUCGUCAAGCUCUCACUCGCGUCUGCCGUCAUGCUCUGCCUUGAGAUUUGGUACCUCGGCAUGAUCACCGUCCUCACCGGCAACCUCCAGGAUGCGCAGAUUGCCGUCGACUCGCUUGGCGUCUGCAUGAACAUAAACGGGUGGGAGUGUAUGAUCUUCAUUGGCCUCAAUGCUGCUAUCAGUGUUCGGGUCUCCAAUGAGCUGGGCUCUGGCCGUCCAAGGGCAGCGAUGCACGCCGUUGUCGUCGUCAUCGCCGAGUCGCUGCUCAUCGGGCUGCUAUGCAUGGCCCUCGUCUUGAUCUUCAGAGAUAACUUCGCCAUCAUCUACACGAGCGAUUUGGAGCUCCAGCAUGCCGUCUCCAAGAUUGCAGGACUGCUUGGCUUGACCAUGGUGCUCAACAGCGUGCAGCCUGUGGUUUCAGGGGUUGCUAUUGGAGGAGGAUGGCAAGGCCUUGUUGCAUACAUCAACCUAGUCUGCUACUACGUUUUCGGGUUGCCCUUGGGCUAUCUUCUCGGAUACAAGUUCAACUAUGGAGUUGGGGGGAUUUGGGCUGGCAUGCUUUCCGGGGUUGCACUUCAGACACUGAUCUUACUCUUCAUCGUGUGGAGAACAGAUUGGAAUGCAGAGGUUGCACUAGCUUCAAGCCGUGUGCGAAAGUGGGGCGGCAUGGAUGGAACCAAACCUCUGCUGGAAAAUAACUACAUCACCUAA